GACGAACGCUGGCGGCGUGCUUAACACAUGCAAGUCGAACGGAAAGGCCCUGCUUUUGUGGGGUUCUCGUGUGGCGCGCGGGUGUGUAACACGUGUGUAACCCGCCCCUGACUUUGGUAUAACUUCAGGAAACUGGGGCUAAUACCGGAUAUGAGCUCCUGCUGCAUGUUGUUGGUUGGAAAGUUUCGGCGGUAGGGGAUGGACUCGCUGCUUAUGAGCUUGUUGGUGGGGUAGUUGCUUACCAAGGCUUUGACGGAUAGCCUGCCUGAGAGUGUGACCGGCCACAUUGGGACUGAGAUAGGGCCCAGACUCCUACGGGAGGCAACAGUGGAAAAUAUUACACAAUGGGCGGGAGUGAGAUGGAGCAGCGCCGCGUGCGGGAAAACCGCUUUCGGGGUGUAAACCGUUUUCGAAGGAAACGAAGCGUGAGUGACGGUAAUGAGUAAAGAAGCACCGGCUAGCUACGUG
rnacentral:rRNA from 1 species